AGCGAACGCUGGCGGCAGGCCUAACACAUGCAAGUCGAACGCACCUUCGGGUGAGUGGCGGACGGGUGAGUAACACGUGGGAACGUACCUUUUGGUUCGGAAUAACGCAGGGAAACUUGUGCUAAUACCGAAUGUGCCCUUCGGGGAAAGAUUUAUCGCCAUUAGAGCGGCCCGCGUCUGAUUAGCUAGUUGGUGAGGUA
rnacentral:rRNA from 1 species